rnacentral:rRNA from 1 species
UAGGAUGAGCCCGCGGCCUAUCAGCUUGUUGGUGGGGUAAUGGCCUACCAAGGCGGCGACGGGUAGCCGGACUGAGAGGUUGGUCGGCCACAUUGGGACUGAGAUACGGCCCAGACUCCUACGGGAGGCAGCAGUGGGGAAUAUUGCACAAUGGGCGCAAGCCUGAUGCAGCGACGCCGCGUGGGGGAUGACGGCCUUCGGGUUGUAAACUCCUUUCGCCAGGGACGAAGCGUUUUGUGACGGUACCUGGAGAAGAAGCACCGGCUAACUACGUGCCAGCAGCCGCGGUAAUACGUAGGGUGCAAGCGUUGUCCGGAAUUACUGGGCGUAAAGAGCUCGUAGGUGGUUUGUCACGUCGUCUGUGAAAUUCCACAGCUUAACUGUGGGCGUGCAGGCGAUACGGGCUGACUUGAGUACUGUAGGGGUAACUGGAAUUCCUGGUGUAGCGGUGAAAUGCGCAGAUAUCA